GGCCUCGUGGCCUAAUGGCUAGGGCGCUAGAUUUCGGUGACAUACAAGUCUGAUUCUCUAGAGAUUGUCGGUUCGAGUCCGGCCGAGGUCG